GCCGCAUUGGCUGCUGGGGCGCGAGAAAUACGGCCGCCAUGUUUGACCGGUCAUACUCCUAUUUGCGUAGCAGCAGAAGCAACGAUGCCAGAGCACUGUGGAGCAUACUCAAUCAAUCAAUCAAUCAAAAUUUAUUUAUAAAGCGCUUUUUACAACAGCAGUUGUCACAAAGUGCUUUACAGAGACACCCGGCCUUAAACCCCAAGGAGCAAACAACAGUAGUGUUGAAUUUGAAUACUCCUGCUCAUAUCGGUGGACCAUCGAAAGCAGGGCUCGUGGGAUUACUUUUCACAAGUUCAGCCAAGAUCACUUGGAGCUCCUAUUUAAUUCAAUCAGAGCGUCAGGAGGCUGGAAUAACAAUCCAUCGGCACUUCCAGGCCAUCUUCCGC
ensembl:lncRNA